UGGGUUGUGGCUCAGUGGUAGAGCAUUUGCCUGGCAUGUGUGGGGCCCUGGGUUUGAUACUCAGCACCACAU
rfam:Ictidomys tridecemlineatus contig090474, whole genome shotgun sequence.